GCUGUCGGAGGCGGGGUUUAGUCCAAUCACCGCAUCGCCUGAACCCAUCAAGAGGCCGUCAAGCGUUGACGCCGCCACGCCGCGCAGGUCGUCGGUGGGAUGGUUAGGUUGCAGGCGCACCGACAGAUGCCCUUCGAGCCCGAUGGUGUCGCGGAAGCGGGUGAUCGCACGGCACUUGCGCGCCACCGCGAUCAGGUCCUGGUUACGCAUGAUNCGAGACGGCGGCGACCAUUUCCGGCGUGAGGCCGCGCGCAAGCGCCGCGAGCGCUUCCGUU
rnacentral:misc_RNA from 1 species